GGAUUAGAUACCCUGGUAGUCCACGCCGUAAACGAUGUCAACUAGAUAUGGGAGCUUUCAACGGCCUCCAUGUCGUAGGGAAACCGUUAAGUUGACCGCCUGGGGAGUACGGUCGCAAGAUUAAAACUCAAAGGAAUUGACGGGGGCUCACACAAGCGGUGGAGCAUGUGGCUUAAUUCGAGGCAACGCGAAGAACCUUAUCCUGGGUUUGACAUAUAUGGAUUAACUCUCUGAAAAGAGAGCCACGCUGCUUGCAGUGGAACAUAUACAGGUGCUGCAUGGCUGUCGUCAGCUCGUGCUG
rnacentral:rRNA from 1 species